rnacentral:rRNA from 1 species
UACGUGGGGGGCAAGCGUUGUUCGGAAUUACUGGGCGUAAAGGGCUCGUAGGCGGCCAACUAAGUCAGACGUGAAAUCCCUCGGCUUAACCGGGGAACUGCGUCUGAUACUGGAUGGCUGGAGUUUGGGAGAGGGAUGCGGAAUUCCAGGUGUAGCGGUGAAAUGCGUAGAUAUCUGGAGGAACACCGGUGGCGAAGGCGGCAUCCUGGACCAAUACUGACGCUGAGGAGCGAAAGCCAGGGGAGCAAACGGG